CAUCUUUGUCUUUUCCCCUCCCAAAACAGAGUCACAGUAGUGUUACAACCAUCUCUUUCAGGGAGGACUGCAGUCACCCUUCAUCCCUACAGCCAUCUGGGCUAAAACACUGGCUUUGGGCUCCAUGAUGAAGAGCCACAAGCAGAGGCUGUGGAGCACUAGUCACACAUUACUGAAGGGGACCUCUACAAGGCUACAUGGCUCUCAUAACUAC
rnacentral:lncRNA from 1 species